GUCACACUUUGGUUCAGAUGAAUGAAAAAAUAAGAUACUGACACUCUGGAUGACUAAGAAUCGACUUAUGUCUUUCCCGUGAUGGGAAACUGUCCCAUGAAAAGCCACUUACAUGUUUGGAUGGUCCUGUAGAAAAUAUUUUUUCUUCUCCUUAUCGCAGUCUCUAUGAUGCAUAAGAAUGCAAUUUAAGACAAACAGCAAAUAAAUACCAUCUGUGUAUGUACCAAGCACUUGCAGACUGAAAAAAAAAAAAGAAAAAGAAAAAAUAAGAUAUUGUAUCUUGGGCACACAGAAAGUGCCCAUCAAAGAUUAAAUGAAUGGACUGCAGCUGGUGGAGGCAUGGGGUACUGGCUUGCCG
rnacentral:lncRNA from 10 species